rnacentral:lncRNA from 1 species
AUCGAAGGUUGAACUUGAAUCGAUUUUUUUUUUUUUUUUUGAGAGAGAGAGAUAGGUAGCACGCUACUCGCUUCGUUUAUUUCAUUAGAAAUAAACUUAGCUGGAAAUGUGAAUCAAUUAGAAUUCGAACUUGGGUCUCAGGUACCAAACACCAAACUUGAAUCGAAUUUGAAUCUAAAGAUCCUCGAAUAGUCCAACAUUUCUGCUCUUUCUUCUUCUUUCUACCUCUUAUUUUCCUCAACUAAUCUUUCAAUUACAUAAAUGUUUCAAUCAAUGUUUAAC